rfam:Brassica oleracea var. oleracea cultivar TO1000 chromosome C4, whole genome shotgun sequence
GGGUCUUUAGCUCAAUGGUAGAGCAAAUGACUGCAGAUCAAUAGGUAACCGGUUCGAGACCAGGUGAGCCCU